rnacentral:rRNA from 1 species
GAUUUGUCUGGUURAUUCCGAUAACGAACGAGACUCUGGCCUGCUAAAUAGGCCGCCGGUCUCCGCGCGACCCGGCGUUUGGCGACUUGUCGCCGGCGUUCGGUGCCUCGCGCGCGCCGGCGGAUCUUCUUAGAGGGACAAGCGGCGUUUAGCCGCGCGAGAUUGAGCAAUAACAGGUCUGUGAUGCCCUUAGAUGUCCGGGGCCGCACGCGCGCUACACUGAAGGGAUCAGCGUGGCCAAACCCCUGGCCCGAGAGGGCUGGGAAACCCGUUGAAUCCCCUUCGUGCUAGGGAUCGGGGCUUGUAAUUAUUCCCCGUGAACGAGGAAUUCCCAGUAAGCGCGGGUCAUAAGCCCGCGUUGAUUACGUCCCUGCCCUUUGUACACACCGCCCGUCGCUACUAUCGAUUGAGCGGUUCAGUGAGGGCAUCGGAUCGGUCGCGGCCUGGGGUUCGCGCCCCGUGCCCGCGCGCCGAGAAGACGCUCGAACUCGAUCGCUUGGAGAAAGUAAAAGUCGUAACAAGGUUUCCGUAGGU